UCGGUUACUGUGCAUUGUCUAUCAAUAAUUUUGUAUAUUAUUGAAUAUAUGCAAUAUAAAUAUAAAGAAAUGAUGAUGAUGAUAUAUAGGUCAAUGUGUGCCUUUAUGUUGCAAAAAGAAAUGGUGAAUCGUCAAUCAAGAAUUAUUAUUUUUCCAGGCGCGUUUCAGUUAAUGCACCUGCAAAAAGUUGUUAACACAAACGAAAAUACGGUGAAAUCGUAAAAUGGCGUGAAACUUAUCAUAUAUUUCUAGGUGCUUCAAGAGCGCUCUCAAAAGUUACAGAAUCCCAUAUACUCAGACCUGAAUAAACACGACCAAUUUCUUUAGAGAAAAACAAUUUCUUCUCCCACACUAUGAAACAUUCUCUAGCAAUCCAUAACCCUAAUAUCACCGUCAUCCUAAUCGCUGCCGGAGUAUCGCAUGAGCCGUCAUCAUCUCCGUCGUCGUUGCCGUCGCCACUGCCUCCAUUCAUUCUUUAUAUUCAUUACUAUCUUUUCUUCUCCGUGGUCGGACCUGAAGAUAAUCCAAGUGAGGUGCAUUUUGCGGUUUCACUCUUAGUCAUCAUGCCAAUUUGGUAUUGAACAUCAGAAGAUCUCAUUUGCCCUUCUGCUAUUGAAGGUCCUAUAAGUCCUAUAUAGAUGAUGGUGUGGAAAGUUAUCUUGAAGAGUCUUAAAUACUGGAGGUUUGGGGUCUUCUAAUCCUUCACCUUGCUGGUUGAUUCAAUUCUACCUUUCAACUAUUGCUCUUAUGCAGAGCAGCUAAAGGGCCAAACAGAGUUUUUAAGCAAAUUGUUGGAUGAGACUUUUUGGUAUAUAUAUGGUCCUACAAUAGACCCAGAAUGCGAACUAAACUUGUUUCUUAGUAUAGAAUGAAUUUGAGGCAGAGGAUGGCACUAAAUCAGAAUAAGAUAUGGAAGGUUGCUAAAGCCAUUCAAAGGGCAACCAGUGAAAUAUGUAAACUUAACAACUUGUAGAAAGUAAGUGUGUAACAUAUUUUGAUUCAAUCAUAUAUAUAUAUUAAUUUAUAUA